rnacentral:pre_miRNA from 1 species
UUGGACAUACGAUUUUAUCUCGUGAAUUGAAAUCAUGAGAUGAAGUCAAUGUUUGGAC